GACGAACGCUGGCGGCGUGCCUAAUACAUGCAAGUUGAGCGCUGAAGGUUGGUACUUGUACCAACUGGAUGAGCAGCGAACGGGUGAGUAACGCGUGGGGAAUCUGCCUUUGAGCGGGGGACAACAUUUGGAAACGAAUGCUAAUACCGCAUAAAAACUUUAAACACAAGUUUCAAGUUUGAAAGAUGCAAUUGCAUCACUCAAAGAUGAUCCCGCGUUGUAUUAGCUAGUUGGUGAGGUAAAGGCUCACCAAGGCGAUGAUACAUAGCCGACCUGAGAGGGUGAUCGGCCACAUUGGGACGGGGACACGGCCCAAACUCCUGCGGGAGGCAGCAGUAGGGAAUCUUCGGCAAUGGACGAAAGUCUGAACGAGCAACGCCGCGUGAGUGAAGAAGGUUGUCGGAUCGUAAAACUCUGUUGGUAGAGAAGAACGUUGGUGAGAGUGGAAAGCUCAUCAAGUGACGGUAACUACACAGAAAGGGACGGCUAACUACGUG
rnacentral:rRNA from 1 species